AUGCACGCUGGCGGCGUGCCUAAUACAUGCAAGUCGAGCGAACGGACGAGAAGCUUGCUUCUCUGAUGUUAGCGGCGGACGGGUGAGUAACACGUGGAUAACCUACCUAUAAGACUGGGAUAACUUCGGGAAACCGGAGCUAGUACCGGAUAAUAUUUUGAACCGCAUGGUUCAAAAGUGAAAGACGGUCUUGCUGUCACUUAUAGAUGGAUCCGCGCUGCAUUAGCUAGUUGGUAAGGUAACGGCUUACCAAGGCAACGAUGCAUAGCCGACCUGAGAGGGUGAUCGGCCACACUGGAACUGAGACACGGUCCAGACUCCUACGGGAGGCAGCAGUAGGGAAUCUUCCGCAAUGGGCGAAAGCCUGACGGAGCAACGCCGCGUGAGUGAUGAAGGUCUUCGGAUCGUAAAACUCUGUUAUUAGGGAAGAACAUAUGUGUAAGUAACUGUGCACAUCUUGACGGUACCUAAUCAGAAAGCCACGGCUAACUACGUG
rnacentral:rRNA from 1 species